rnacentral:rRNA from 1 species
GCUUAUACUCGACCGUCAGCGGCACGUGCGAUCGCGUUCGCGCGCGAUCACGAAGCCCUGACGAGUAGGAGGGUCGCGGCGGUGAGCGCAGAAGGGCUGGCCGCGAGGCCGUCUGGAGCCGCCGUCGGUGCAGAUCUUGGUGGUAGUAGCAAAUACUCCAGCGAGGCCCUGGAGGACUGACGUGGAGAAGGGUUUCGUGUGAACAGCCGUUGCACACGAGUCAGUCGAUCCUAAGCCCUAGGCGAAAGCCGAUGUCGAUGCGGUGUAGCUUUAUCACAUAUAUUUUAUUAUAUAUCGAGUAUGAAACACACCCGUCGGGCGAAAGGGAAUCCGGUUCCUAUUCCGGAACCUGGCAGCGGAACCGUAAAAAAGUCGGGC